UGGGGAAUCUUGGACAAUGGGGGCAACCCUGAUCCAGCCAUGCCGCGUGAGUGAUGAAGGCCUUAGGGUCGUAAAGCUCUUUCGCCUGUGAAGAUAAUGACGGUAGCAGGUAAAGAAACCCCGGCUAACUCCGUGCCAGCAGCCGCGGUAAUACGGAGGGGGUUAGCGUUGUUCGGAAUUACUGGGCGUAAAGCGCACGUAGGCGGACCAGAAAGUUGGGGGUGAAAUCCCGGGGGCUCAACCCCGGAACUGCCUCCAAAACUAUUGGUCUAGAGUUCGAGAGAGGUGAGUGGAAUUCCAAGUGUAGAGGUGAAAUUCGUAGAUAUUUGGAGGAACACCAGUGGCGAAGGCGGCUCACUGGCUCGAUACUGACGCUGAGGUGCGAAAGUGUGGGGAGCAAACAGGAUUAGAUACCCUGGUAGUCCACACCGUAAAACGAUGUCAACUAGCCGUUGGGGAACUUGAUUCUUUAGUGGCGCAG
rnacentral:rRNA from 1 species